rnacentral:rRNA from 1 species
GACGAACGCUGGCGGCGUGCUUAACACAUGCAAGUCGAACGGAAAGGCCUGCUUUCCCUUGUGGAUUGCGGGUACUCGAGUGGCGAACGGGUGAGUAACACGUGAGUGAUCUGCCCCCAACUUGGGUAUAAGCCUGGGAAACUGGGUCAAUUCCCGAUAGGACUGCAGGGUGGUGCCUGUGGUGGAAAACGAUUUUCUAGUGGUUGGGGAUGAGCUCGCGGCCUAUCAGCUUGUUGGUGGGGUAAUGGCCUACCAAGGCGGCGACGGGUAGCCGGCCUGAGAGGGUGGACGGCCACAUUGGGACUGAGAUACGGCCCAGACUCCUACGGGAGGCAGCAGUGGGGAAUUUUGCACAAUGGGCGGAAGCCUGAUGCAGCGACGCCGCGUGGGGGAUGACGGCCUUCGGGUUGUAAACUCCUUUCGACCGCGAGGAAGCCACCUGGUUGGAAGGGUGGUGACGGUAGUGGUAGAAGAAGCACCGGCUAACUACGUG